GUGAGGAAUAUUGGUCAAUGGGCGAGAGCCUGAACCAGCCAUGCCGCGUGCAGGAAGAAUGCCCUAUGGGUUGUAAACUGCUUUUAUUUGGGAAUAAACCUUUCUACGUGUAGAAAGCUGAAGGUACUAAAUGAAUAAGCACCGGCUAACUCCGUGCCAGCAGCCGCGGUAAUACGGAGGGUGCAAGCGUUAUCCGGAAUCAUUGGGUUUAAAGGGUCCGCAGGCGGAUUAAUAAGUCAGUGGUGAAAUCUCAUAGCUUAACUAUGAAACUGCCAUUGAUACUGUUAGUCUUGAAUAUGGUCGAUGUGGGCGGAAUAUGACAUGUAGCGGUGAAAUGCUUAGAUAUGACAUAGAACACCGAUAGCGAAGGCAGCUCACUAAGUCUGAAUUGACGCUCAUGGACGAAAGCGCGGGUAGCAAACAGGAUUAGAAACCCCGGUAGUCC
rnacentral:rRNA from 1 species